UGUGGCAGUUCCGGGCAGUUGUUUGCGGUGGUGGUUACUUCUAUCUUUCUCUGCCCAUUAUCCCCACAACUUCCAUCAGUCUCCUAGAAACCUGGUAGUGCUCUCAAAUUCAGUUUACGCUUGCAAGCAGUUGACGACGGUUCCCCACGCUCCCGUAAUUUUUGGUCUGUUGAAUCUGUUCUUCUCACCCACCUAUAAAUAUGUCGUCUCAUCUCUCCAAUUAAUCUGAAUUGCCAAAUCAAAAGGAAAAAUUAGGUGAAUGAAGAUGGUAGACAUCCCUACGAUUGAAGGAGUGAGCAGGGGUCGAUUUAAUUGGUCUAGGGCCAUACCCAUGAGUUCAAGAUGUUCUUCCAAUUGUUGUUACAGAAAUCACCCCUAAAUUCAAUGAUUGAGUUCGAUUGGUCAUGCUUAAGGUUUCAUUAGAAAUAUUUGGAACCUUGAGCAGAAGAAACCAAAAUGGUUUUCUCCAAAGCCAAGGAAAUUGUUUCCUCAAAUCCCCUUAUCAUAUCCAGGGUAACUACAAAACAAAAUGAGGUAGAGAUGAAGGCUUUCACACCGUGACUAAACUUCAGGGACUAUUUUGGCAGUUUACUUUUUUUUAUUAUAAAGUUUCUUUCUGCUUACUUAGACUACGGGUUGUGGAGGGGCUUGGGUUGGGGGCAUUGCUGGCGAGUGUGGGAUCCACAAGAUAAUAUUCAAAACAAGGGGUGUAGUGUGGCAUGGCUUCGGCUGGCGUGACCAGCCAUGUGGAUUUUGUUUUUUUUUUGUUUAAACUAUUUUAAAUUUCAUUUAAUUAAAAUAACACACUGAUUAAAAUAACACACCAAUCAAAGCCAACCAUGUCAUCUUCCCCCCUCCCCCCCUCCCCCGGGCGGGGCAACGCCAUGGCCAACGCUAGCCCGGUGUGGUCUAGCCAGCGUUGCUUGGCAACCGUUGCCCCAACCCACGGUCUUAGUUCUGACUUUUGUACAGAGUGUUCGGUUACAUGUAAAAUUAUGGCUCCCAAAUGCUCAUUUGUUAUGGAAUGCCUUGCAGCAACAGCAAGUACAGAUAUAAAUCCUAGUGGAGAAAUUAUGGUUUUGGAUAGAUUUUCUCAUGUGCAUCUCAUUGCUAUAAGGAUCAUAUUGCUUUGGCCACCCUCAUGUAUAAGAUCUUCAUGCAGUUCCACAGUUUCAUGGAGGUUGAACAUCUUCCGGUUAUUUCACCCUCACAACAUCAAAAGGAGAGUGUUGCUUGCCUUGCUGAGAGGAUUGGGAAUCAGCUCAUGGAAACUACAAUGAUCAUGUCAAUACACAUAGCUUUAAUUGUCUAUAAGCAUGCCGUUGAAAUAUGGAAGCUUAUUGAUGAAACUUGGACAAAGGUGUUUGCUCAUCCGGAUGUUGUGUGUAUAUCAUUGUCGGUGAAGUCAUUUUUUUCUAAUAUGUGAAUUCAAAUGGCAAAUGCCUUGUGAUACUAGAGUGGAGAGAUUUCUUUUGUCUACCAUUUACUUUUGUAUGAAAAUGAUGGUGAUACUAUUCAUAUUUAAGUAGUUUACCAAUUUUAUUAUUCCUUUACCAGUU